GACGAACGCUGGCGGCGUGCCUAAUACAUGCAAGUAGAACGCUGAAGAGAGGAGCUUGCUCUUCUUGGAUGAGUUGCGAACGGGUGAGUAACGCGUAGGUAACCUGCCUGGUAGCGGGGGAUAACUAUUGGAAACGAUAGCUAAUACCGCAUAAAAUUGAUUAUUGCAUGAUAAUUAAUUGAAAGAUGCAACUGCAUCACUACCAGAUGGACCUGCGUUGUAUUAGCUAGUUGGUGAGGUAACGGCUCACCAAGGCGACGAUACAUAGCCGACCUGAGAGGGUGAUCGGCCACACUGGGACUGAGACACGGCCCAGACUCCUACGGGAGGCAGCAGUAGGGAAUCUUCGGCAAUGGGGGGAACCCUGACCGAGCAACGCCGCGUGAGUGAAGAAGGUUUUCGGAUCGUAAAGCCCGGUUGUAAGAGAAGAACGGGUGUGAGAGUGGAAAGUUCACACUGUGACGGUAUCUUACCAGAAAGGGACGGCUAACUACGUG
rnacentral:rRNA from 1 species